ACAAAGAUAACAUUCAUUAAUAUACUCCACUUUAAUUAUUUAACUUUAGCUUUAGAAGAUCAGUGGCGACAAUUAGGCCGCGUGGAGGAAAAAGGAUGAGAUGAGAUGAAGUUCGGAGAGUUCCCUGAGGGGGGAAAGCAGGCAGCUUCACAGGAAUGCUCAGCCUGUAGCCUCUUAAGCAGGCACUUCAUUGAGAUGCAGCAAGAGUCAAGCACUAAUGAGAUUUUGCUGUCUCUCUACGAAGGCCUAAAAGAAGCUUUUCAAGGUAAAGUUAUGAAGAAUAUGGGCUUAACAUGCAGACUGGACUUCCACAACAAAAACAGCACUGGUAGAUGAUCACAGAAUCAUUUCCAUGAUAACGAUUAAACUUUACCGAAUUAAGCCAAGGAAUUCUGUUUAAACCCCCCCCAAAAAAGUCAGCCCAGCUCUGGAACAGUAUUCUCUGGACAGAUGAGACAGAUCAGUCUGUACCAGAACAAGGAGAAGGGAAAAGUACGGAGGAGGCUUGGAAAGGCUCGUGAUCUGAUGCAUACAACAUUCCCUGUGAAACAUGGCGGAUGCAGUGCGACACAUGGUUAAGCACUUUGUCCCUGCUGUAGACAAAACAAAAGGCAAAAAAAAAGGCAUUCUUCAGUGAUACUCAUGAGCUCAGACAAAAGGAUUCUUAUGUAUAUUUUAAUUCUAAAACUGAUUUUUCUCAAGUAUAUUUAACUGUAACUGCCUGUCCAAAUAAAAGCUUUCCUAAUAUUUGCGAGGAACACAAAUUCAUCGGUGACUGAUGGUAUCAAUCCAGUAACUGUCCUUGACUGAUCUCUAAUAGCAUUUCACCAAUAGCUUUCUGAUGAGCUACACACUU